rnacentral:rRNA from 1 species
UUUGACGUUAGCGACAGAAGAAGCACCGGCUAACUCCGUGCCAGCAGCCGCGGUAAUACGGAGGGUGCGAGCGUUAAUCGGAAUUACUGGGCGUAAAGCGCAUGCAGGUGGUUUGUUAAGUCAGAUGUGAAAGCCCGGGGCUCAACCUCGGAAUAGCAUUUGAAACUGGCAGACUAGAGUACUGUAGAGGGGGGUAGAAUUUCAGGUGUAGCGGUGAAAUGCGUAGAGAUCUGAAGGAAUACCGGUGGCGAAGGCGGCCCCCUGGACAGAUACUGACACUCAGAUGCGAAAGCGUGGGGAGCAAACAGGAUUAGAUACCCUGGUAGUCCACGCCGUAAACGAUGUCUACUUGGAGGUUGUGGCCUUGAGCCGUGGCUUUCGGAGCUAACGCGUUAAGUAGACCGCCUGGGGAGUACGGUCGCAAGAUUAAAACUCAAAUGAAUUGACGGGGGCCCGCACAAGCGGUGGAGCAUGUGGUUUAAUUCGAUGCAACGCGAAGAACCUUACCUACUCUUGACAUCCAGAGAACUUUCCAGAGAUGGAUUGGUGCCUUCGGGAACUCUGAGACAGGUGCUGCAUGGCUGUCGUCAGCUCGUGUUGUGAAAUGUUGGGUUAAGUCCCGCAACGAGCGCAACCCUUAUCCUUGUUUGCCAGCGAGUAAUGUCGGGAACUCCAGGGAGACUGCCGGUGAUAAACCGGAGGAAGGUGGGGACGACGUCAAGUCAUCAUGGCCCUUACGAGUAGGGCUACACACGUGCUACAAUGGCGCAUACAGAGGGCGGCCAACUUGCGAAAGUGAGCGAAUCCCAAAAAGUGCGUCGUAGUCCGGAUUGGAGUCUGCAACUCGACUCCAUGAAGUCGGAAUCGCUAGUAAUCGUGGAUCAGAAUGCCACGGUGAAUACGUUCCCGGGCCUUGUACACACCGCCCGUCACACCAUGGGAGUGGGCUGCAAAAGAAGUAGGUAGUUUAACCUUCGGGGGGACGCUUACCACUUUGUGGUUCAUGACUGGGGUGAAGUCGUAACAAGGUAGCGCUAGGGGAACCUG